GAUGAACGCUGGCUACAGGCUUAACACAUGCAAGUCGAGGGGAAACGACGGGGAAGCUUGCUUCCCCGGGCGUCGACCGGCGCACGGGUGAGUAACGCGUAUCCAACCUGCCUCUGACUGAGGGAUAACCCGUCGAAAGUCGGCCUAAUACCUCAUGGCAUCGUCUGCGGGCAUCCAACGACGAUUAAAGAUUUCAUCGGUCAGGGAUGGGGAUGCGUCUGAUUAGCUUGUUGGCGGGGUAACGGCCCACCAAGGCUACGAUCAGUAGGGGUUCUGAGAGGAAGGUCCCCCACAUUGGAACUGAGACACGGUCCACACUCCUACGGGAGGCAGCAGUGAGGAAUAUUGAGCAAUGGGCGGGAGCCUGAACCAGCCAAGUAGCGUGCAGGAUGACGGCCCUAUGGGUUGUAAACUGCUUUUAUGCGGGGAUAAAGUGAGGGACGUGUCCUUCAUUGCAGGUACCGCAUGAAUAAGGACCGGCUAAUUCCGUG
rnacentral:rRNA from 1 species